rnacentral:tRNA from 1 species
ACUCUUAUAGUUUAAAAAAACCAUUGAUCUUCAAUCAAUAAUUAGAAUCAACCCUCUUAAGAAUA